GUAGGUGAACCUGCGGAAGGAUCAUUAACGAAAUGGUGCGAAUAGCCGUUAGGCUAUUUGCAUAUUGACUCGGGAUGAUUUGCUGUGAGAGAUUGGAUGGAAACAUUCGAUUUACCGCAAUACUUCACUCCCUGAGACAUACACGCUUGCUUUGUUUGACUGAGUAACUAUUUGAUAAUAUAGACAACUUUUAACAAUGGAUCUCUUGGCUCUU
rnacentral:misc_RNA from 1 species